rnacentral:rRNA from 1 species
GACGAACGCUGGCGGCGUGCCUAAUACAUGCAAGUUGAGCGCUGAAGGUUGGUACUUGUACCGACUGGAUGAGCAGCGAACGGGUGAGUAACGCGUGGGGAAUCUGCCUUUGAGCGGGGGACAACAUUUGGAAACGAAUGCUAAUACCGCACAAAAACUUUAAACACAAGUUUUAAGUUUGAAAGAUGCAAUUGCAUCACUCAAAGAUGAUCCCGCGUUGUAUUAGCUAGUUGGUGAGGUAAAGGCUCACAAAGGCGAUGAUACAUAGCCGCCCUGAGAGGUGGAUCGGCCACAUUGGGGCUGAGACACGGCCCAAACUCCUACGGGGGGCAGCAGUAGGGAAUCUUCGGCAAUGGACGAAAGUCUGACCGAGCAACGCCGCGUGAGUGAAGAAGGUUUUCGGAUCGUAAAACUCUGUUGGUAGAGAAGAACGUUGGUGAGAGUGGAAAGCUCAUCAAGUGACGGUAACUACCCAGAAAGGGACGGCUAACUACGUGCCAGCCGCCGCAGUAA